rnacentral:tRNA from 1 species
GCGGGCGUGGCGAAAUUGGUAUACGCACGAGACUUAAAAUCUUGCGCCUUAAAUGGCUUACGGGUUCGAGUCCCGUCGCCCGCA